rfam:Oryza brachyantha chromosome 2, whole genome shotgun sequence.
UGUACAUGAUAGAAUCAAGGCCUGUUUCUCGCAACAUUCGCAGUUGCCGCCUAAGUGCUUUCGCCCUGCCUGGCUUGAGAGCUAAUGCUGCCAAAUCAUUCCUUCCUUGGAUGUUUGAUGCA